rnacentral:lncRNA from 13 species
AUGUCACUAAGGGAGGAGAUUUGUUACCUUACAAUGGCCCCUCCUUUCAAUAGCACACCUCUUGUUAAUAACCACGCAAGACAUGGGUCAUUCACGACUCUCAUUCACGACUCUUCGCCACGGGAUUCAAGUCCGUCCCACUCACACUUACCCGUGGGUCAGGAGCCAGGCAAGAGUUCCUUCUUGAGACAACAGCCAUUUCCUCAGAACAAUGAGUCCGCAUUCCUGGGAUGCUGCCUGACCCCUGUAAACAACAUUCCAGCAUUGGGAAAAGCCACAGUGCAGCAAUGGCCACAGAAAACCAUUAUCUCACUGUCAUUACUCAAGUCUCCCUCCCUCUUUGUCAUCACAUCCUCAGUCUCUCAGAGUCAAUGUACUGUAAGUUCUCCAUAAACUAACAUGGUAAGGGCUGCCAUCAUUUUUACAGUUUUACAUCAUACAUACUGGAGAAGAACAUCCAUCUGUGAACCGAACUUGCUAACUGCCUGGUACUCAGGACUCCCAUCAGCUUUCUACAGGCUAGGCCUACUAUAUUUAUUUCUAAACUCUCCUAAUAUGAAGCACAUUGCUUAUCUUUACAACAGUAGUAUAGCCUACCUGGUUGGCAUGAAACUGAACCACGGGAAAAGCGUCCUCCAUUCGCUAUUUCAGUAAAUAGACGACAUGUAUUUUUCCCCUGCCCCUGUUUUGAGACAGGUGCAUGAUAAUGGACCAGUCUAAAUUAAAACAAAUUUUACACAUAUUAUUUAGUACAGUGGGGCAAAAAAGUAUUUAGUCAGCCACCAAUUGUGCAAGGUCUUUGGAGGGAGUUGAAAGUCCGUGUUGCCCAGCAACAGCCCCAAAACAUCACUGCUCUAGAUGAGAUCUGCUUGGAGGAAUGGGCCAAAAUACCAGCAACAGUGUGUGAAAACCUUGUGAAGACUCAUAGAAAACGUUUGACAUCUGUCAUUGCCAACAAAUGGUAUAUAACAAAGUAUUGAGAUAAACUUUUGUUAUUGACCAAAUACUGAUUUUCCACCAUAAUUUGCAAAUAAAUUCAUUAAACAUCCUACAAUGUGAUUUUCUCAUUUUUUCUCAUUUUGUCUGUCAUAGUUGAAGUGUACCUAUGAUGAAAAUUACAGGCCUCUCUCAUCUUUUUAAGUGGGAGAACUUGCACAAUUGGUGGCUGACUAAAUACUUUUUUGCCCCACUGUAUAUGUGAAGAAAAUAAAUCAAGAAAAGUCUGAUGGGUGACAAUAUUAGCUAUGUGAAUUAUAUAUUAUAGCUUGUGAAUGAUGCCAAGCAUAAGGCAAGAAAGGCUGCCUAGAAGGCCAGUAUCCCGGAGUCGCCUCUUCACGGUUGACGUUGAGACUGGUGUUUUGCGGGUACUAUUUAAUGAAGCUGCCAGUUCAGGACUUGUGAGGCGUCUGUUUCUUAAACUAGACACUCUAAUGUACUUGUCCUCUUGCUCAGUUGUGCACCGGGGCCUUCCACUCCUCUUUCUAUUCUGGUUAGUGGUACACAGCGUUGGAUGAGACCUUCAGUUUCUUGUCAAUUUCUCACAUGGAAUAGCCUUCAUUUCUCAGAACAAAAAUAGACUGACGAGUUUCAAAAGAAAGUUCUUUGUUUCUGGCAAUUUUGAGUCUGUAAUCGAACCCACAAAUGCUGAUGCUCCAGAUACUCAACUAGUCUACAGAAGGCCAUUUAUAUUGCUUCUUUAAUCAGGACAACAGUUUUCAGCUGUGCUAACAUAAUAGCAAAAGGGUUUUCUAAUGAUCAAUUAGCCUUUUAAAAUGAUACACUUGGAUUAGCUAAUACAACGUGCCAUUGGAACACAAGAGUGAUGGUGUCUGAUAAUGGGCCUCUGUACGCCUAUGUAGAUAUUCCAUAAAAAAAUAGCCGUUUAAAGCUACAAUAGUUAUUUACAACAUUAACAAUGUCGUCACUGUGUUUUAAAUGGACAAAAAAUAUGCCUUUCUUUCAAAAACAAGGACAUUUCUAAGUGACUCCAAACAUUUGAACAGUAGCGUGUGUAUAUACAUAAACAAUGUACAAUGUCAACAUAAAAAAAAGGAUAUCCAGCAUACCAAAAUUGGUUCUGUGAAGGUUCCCAGAACAUUCGUUAGGUCGCGGAAAAUGUACUCACAACACAAAAACUGUCUAGUCAUAGUGAUGAUUGUAGAAUGUUAGUAUAAAACAUCCUCCUGAUGUUGUGGGUAGAGUCUGGUGAGAACAAUGUGGGGACAUCACAAAAAUAAUUCUCCCAAAACACAAAAAAAGUUUUCUUUUAACGAGCAAAAACAUAUAGUUCCCAGAAAUAUUUUUUUCUCAGUUCUUUAAAGGUUCUCACAAUGUUUAAUUAGGUUGUGGGAACAUUGUGUCGACAUGACGCGUUUUAGUGUUUCUAAAACACUAAAACUGUCCAGUUGUGCUGACAUUCAGAUAAUGUUUGCAUCAGGAUGCACAAAACAUUCCUUUGAUGUUGCAAGAAUACUGACAGAACAGUCUUUCUAAAUUAUUGAUAUAUUCCCAGAACAUUUAAUUAGGUUGUGGGAACAGUAUGGGUUCAUUUCAAGAGAUAGGUUCCCAAAACACAAAAUAUGCUCAGUUGUGAUGAAAUUCAUACAAUGUUUAUGUCAGGAUGCACAGGACUUUCCCUUAAUGUUGUAAGAAUAAAAUAAGUCAGUUUAUAUGACGUUGACAUAAUAUACAUUUGGCCUUGUCUUUGAGGCUCUCAGAACAUUUCAAGAAUGUUUAGGACACUUUUACCUAAUAUUACCACAACAUUUUCAGCACGCAAUUUGGAAGAGAUCUCCAUUAUGUUUUCUCUGUAGAUUUAUUGGCUCUAUUAUAGAUGACAUUGAGAUAGAAACCAUUUUAACAUCAAUAAAUUCACAGAACCUUUGAAUAGAAUUUCAUUAUUUUACAUAUAUUUUAUUAUUUUACAUAUGUUCACAACAUGUGGG